rnacentral:rRNA from 1 species
GACGAACGCUGGCGGCGCGCCUAACACAUGCAAGUCGAACGGAGCUGAGAGAAGCUUGCUUUUCUUAGCUUAGUGGCGAACGGGUGAGUAACGCGUGAGUAACCUGCCUUGGAGUGGGGGACAACAGUUGGAAACGACUGCUAAUACCGCAUAAGCCCACGAUCCGGCAUCGGAUUGAGGGAAAAGGAUUUAUUCGCUUCAGGAUGGACUCGCAUCCAAUUAGCUAGAUGGUGAGGUAACGGCCCACCAAGGCGACGAUUGGUAGCCGGACUGAGAGGUUGAACGGCCGCAUUGGGACUGAGGCACGGCCCAGACUCCUACGGGGGGCAGCAGUGGGGGAUAUUGCACAAUGGGGGAAACCCUGAUGCAGCGACGCCGCGUGGAGGAAGAAGGUUUUCGGAUUGUAAACUCCUGUCGUUAGGGACGAUAAUGACGGUACCUAACAAGAAAGCACCGGCUAACUACGUG